rnacentral:rRNA from 1 species
UCGAACGAUGAAGCCCUUCGGGGUGGAUUAGUGGCGAACGGGUGAGUAACACGUGGGCAAUCUGCCCUGCACUCUGGGACAAGCCCUGGAAACGGGGUCUAAUACCGGAUACGAGCCUCCCGGGCAUCUGGGAGGUUGGAAAGCUCCGGCGGUGCAGGAUGAGCCCGCGGCCUAUCAGCUUGUUGGUGAGGUAACGGCUCACCAAGGCGACGACGGGUAGCCGGCCUGAGAGGGCGACCGGCCACACUGGGACUGAGACACGGCCCAGACUCCUACGGGAGGCAGCAGUGGGGAAUAUUGCACAAUGGGCGAAAGCCUGAUGCAGCGACGCCGCGUGAGGGAUGACGGCCUUCGGGUUGUAAACCUCUUUCAGCAGGGAAGAAGCGAAAGUGACGGUACCUGCAGAAGAAGCGCCGGCUAACUACGUGCCAGCAGCCGCGGUAAUUCAA